AACGAACGCUGGCGGCAGGCUUAACACAUGCAAGUCGAGCGCCCCGCAAGGGGAGCGGCAGACGGGUGAGUAACGCGUGGGAAUCUACCCAUCUCUACGGAAUAACGCGUGGAAACGUGUGCUAAUACCGUAUACGUCCUUCGGGAGAAAGAUUUAUCGGAGAUGGAUGAGCCCGCGUUGGAUUAGCUAGUUGGUGGGGUAAAGGCCUACCAAGGCGACGAUCCAUAGCUGGUCUGAGAGGAUGAUCAGCCACACUGGGACUGAGACAUGGCCCAGACUCCUACGGGAGGCAGCAGUGGGGAAUAUUGGACAAUGGGCGCAAGCCUGAUCCAGCCAUGCCGCGUGAGUGAUGAAGGCCCUAGGGUUGUAAAGCUCUUUCACCGGUGAAGAUAAUGACGGUAACCGGAGAAGAAGCCCCGGCUAACUUCGUGCCAGCAGCCGCCGUAAAAC
rnacentral:rRNA from 1 species